CGAUAUACUGAAUGCUCAGCGUGUCCACGUCUGCCAAAAAAUUUAUCCAAUCAAAUGAUUCUAUUUUGACACGUCAUAUAUAUGCUUUGGUCCACAAAAACGAGACUUUCGUUUGGGCUGUGUUUACUUUUGAUCUAAUUCAAGCCCAUCUCGCUACGGCUGAAAACGCGUGAAGUUUGUUCUUCCUCGACGAUUCCUCUUCGUCAUCACCGAUCAAAUUUUCUGCAUUUCACCGUUACCGUAAUCCAAUCUUGCUCUUUAAUUACGAUUUAACGGUUUCUUCCACCUUCCCCUCUAUCUCCUUCUAUAUAAAGCCAACCCUAAUUGAAACUAUGCAGAAACAACUACAUCUACAGGCAUGGAAUCCACCGGCAUGUCUCCCCUCUUCACUUUCAUGGCUGUUAUACUGUAUUUAGUGGAGUUUAGGUUAUGAUAUGAUCAUUUGUUUGCGAUUUUGUUUAUAAAAUUUGUAUUUUGUAUGUCGAAGGUUUUGCUUUUGGAAUCUAUGUUUGGAGACGUGUUUUCUGUGCCUGUGAAUAAUCCUCACUUGCGCAAAUCUGGAAGUAUACUCAUGAGACGAAGGCUUGCACUGCGCGUGCCUGAUCUAUACCCUCCUGAAGACGAAGCUCACGGAGGAGCGCAUGAAGUCGAUCGUAUGCGACGCGGUCGAGAUCGAGAGGAAGUUUGUGUGCGACGCGCUUCCGUGUGCGUUGGUGGGGAUGAACCGUGAGCUGAUGAGUCAGUAUAUCGAGUUCAUGGCGGAUAGGCUUUUGGGUGCGCUUGGGUACGGGAGGUGUACGGUGUGGCGAAUCCGUUUGAUUGGAUGGAGUUGAUUUUGCUUCAGGGGAAAACGAACUUCUUCGAGAAGAGAGUUGGUGACUACCAGAAAGCUUCUGUUAUGUCUAAAGAGUUGGUGACUACCAGAAAGCACUUUUGGAGCCGCUCCCAUCAACGAAGAUCUCAGUGUUUAAGGGGGUAAUUCAUCAGUUCAUUUGAUUUAUUCAGUUUCAUUUUAAAUCUCUCAGCGAUUAGAAUGGCAAGCUCCAGUCAGCUACUCGGUCAUUUGAAUGUCGGUCGUUAGCUCUACCGUUAAAGUGCGUAUCCUGAGAUUUUGGGAGCCUCGCGAUGCUAGGAAAGCUGGCGAGACCAUGGGCACCGAUAUGCUCUUCUUCAACGCAAAGGAGGAAGGCUCAUCAUUUAAAUGCAUCGCAAUCAGGAGCCAGCCUCAUCACUCGAACUAACAACUUAUAUGGAUCCAUUUACGUCUUCCAUAUACCGUCUGGAGCUUGCUAUCACAAACAAGAGUGAUGAUUGACGAAGCUGUGUUAGUCGGUUUGGACGGGGAGAUGAGGAAGCUUACUAAUAUUAGGCCUGUGAAGCUGAACAUGUUUUGGUGAAUCUACAUCUUAGCACCCUUAUAAGCAUCUGUUAUGAUUUACAUGUUAUAGCUUGAAUGUAUGACUUUCAAAAUAUUCUGAAACACUGUUGGGAUUCUACAGAAUCAGCAUCAUACGUUUGUUAGUGAGAAAUACAGGGUUUUACAAAGCU